CUCUCCUUCCUCUCCAACCCCCCUAUAUAAGAAUACCCUCAUCAUCUUUCAAUCCUCACAACAUUUAGUUAUCUCUACAUUCUUUCUCCUAAACUAGUCAACUUUGUUUUAUUUGGGGUUAAGAUUUUUGCUUAGGAUUAGUUUACUGUUUGUCAACUUAGUUGGGAUGCGCUGUGUACCAUGGAAAUUUUCUCCAUAGUUGUUAUUAACUCAUAGUAAUCUUUUACUUGCAGUUAAUAAAAUUUCUCCUUUUUUGUUGACUGAAAAAAUAUAAAAAAACUUGCUAUUCAUUAAUGUUAUUUUAACCCAAGUGGGUCCUUAAUGCAUAGUUGCAAAAUGAUUUAGAGAAGUGGGUUUUUUUUUUACUAGUCCUAUUUGUUUUCUUUUUUGCUUUUAGUUGUUUCUUUUUAGGGUAAGGAUUUCUCUUAUUUUAUUUUGCAUAGUUGCGAAGGAAGAUCUCAAGAUUGGCCACCAAUCAAUUUUUGGGGAUGCAGUAUCGUCACGAUCCCCAAACUUUUGAUGGGGUAUCAUUUUGGUGUAGUCAUGGAAGGUCCCUUGCUCUACCCAAAAAACUCCUUUGAUUAUUUGGGAAUCCUGAUGAUGCUGCUUCAGCGAAUAGUUGAUUUCCCUUUUAGCUCGAUUGAAGAAGGUUCAUGUCUAUGCAUACAUUAAACUACACAAACGUCGACGUUGAAAGGAUGAAUGGGAGAGCAAAAUUGAGGGAGCAGGUGGACAUGUUCAUAAUAAGAUCAAGAAAGACACACACUGCUUAGUUGUGAGUGGAGUGCUGGAUAAUAAAGAGGCUGACAUGAGGAAGGAA